GUGGCGAUAGCAUGGUUACCGUAUCUGUUUGAGCCUGAAUCAGAGGAAGGAUCUGACAUCGAGGAGCAACCUGCCAGUAAAUUGGAAAUGACUUCUUCAGACUGGUCAGAAGAAUAAGAAUGACCUAGAUUCCUGAGGAGAUAACCUGUAUGGCUCACCAUCCUGGCCUUCAUCCGUGCCUCAAUAUAUAUUCUUUGCAAAAUGCAAUGAAUAUUUACAGAGUUGACCAUGGCCAGUUGAGAAUCAGAUGGAUGGAAAGGCAAUGCAGACACAGGGCUUAUAGGACUUUUGUGAGCUGGUGCUGGGUUUUCUUG